AUGAACGCUGGCGGCGUGCUUAACACAUGCAAGUCGRACGAUGAAGACCGUGCUUGCACGGUUGGAUUAGUGGCGAACGGGUGAGUAUCACGUGAGUAACCUUCCCUUGACUCUGGGAUAAGCCCGGGAAACUGGGUCUAAUACCGGAUACGACCAGUCCUCGCAUGGGGUGCUGGUGGAAAGAUUUAUCGGUCUUGGAUGGACUCGCGGCCUAUCAGCUUGUUGGUGAGGUAAUAGCUCACCAAGGCGAUGACGGGUAGCCGGCCUGAGAGGGUGACCGGCCACACUGGGACUGAGACACGGCCCAGACUCCUACGGGAGGCAGCAGUGGGGAAUAUUGCACAAUGGGCGAAAGCCUGAUGCAGCGACGCCGCGUGCGGGAUGACGGCCUUCGGGUUGUAAACCGCUUUCAGCAGGGAAGAAGCGCAAGUGACGGUACCUGCAGAAGAAGCGCCGGCUAACUACGUGCCAGCAGCCGCGGUAAUACGUAGGGCGCGAGCGUUAUCCGGAAUUAUUGGGCGUAAAGAGCUCGUAGGCGGUUUGUCACGUCUGCUGUGAAAGCCCGGGGCUCAACCCCGGGUGUGCAGUGGGUACGGGCAGACUAGAGUGCAGUAGGGGAGACUGGAAUUCCUGGUGUAGCGGUGAAAUGCGCAGAUAUCAGGAGGAACACCGAUGGCGAARGCAGGUCUCUGGGCUGUUACUGACGCUGAGGAGCGAAAGCAUGGGGAGCGAACAGGAUUAGAUACCCUGGUAGUCCAUGCCGUAAACGUUGGGCACUAGGUGUGGGGGACAUUCCACGUUUUCCGCGCCGUAGCUAACGCAUUAAGUGCCCCGCCUGGGGAGUACGGCCGCAAGGCUAAAACUCAAAGGAAUUGACGGGGGCCCGCACAAGCGGCGGAGCAUGCGGAUUAAUUCGAUGCAACGCGAAGAACCUUACCAAGGCUUGACAUGGACCGGACCGCUGCAGAGAUGCAGCUUCCCUUCGGGGUCGGUUCACAGGUGGUGCAUGGUUGUCGUCAGCUCGUGUCGUGAGAUGUUGGGUUAAGUCCCGCAACGAGCGCAACCCCUAUCCUAUGUUGCCAGCACGUAAUGGUGGGGACUCAUGGGAGACUGCCGGGGUCAACUCGGAGGAAGGUGGGGACGACGUCAAAUCAUCAUGCCCCUUAUGUCUUGGGCUUCACGCAUGCUACAAUGGCCGGUACAAUGGGUUGCGAUACUGUGAGGUGGAGCUAAUCCCUAAAAGCCGGUCUCAGUUCGGAUCGAAGUCUGCAACUCGACUUCGUGAAGUUGGAGUCGCUAGUAAUCGCAGAUCAGCAACGCUGCGGUGAAUACGUUCCCGGGCCUUGUACACACCGCCCGUCAAGUCACGAAAGUGGGUAACACCCGAAGCCGGUGGCCUAACCCUUGUGGGGGGAGCCGUCGAAGGUGGGACUCGCGAUUGGGACUAAGUCGUAACAAGGUAGCCGUACCGGAAGGUGCGG
rnacentral:rRNA from 1 species